AACGAACGCUGGCGGCGUGCCUAACACAUGCAAGUCGUGCGAGAAAGUUCCUUCGGGAGCGAGUAAAGCGGCGCACGGGUGAGUAACACGUAGGUAACCUGCCCCCCAGUCUGGAACAACUAGAGGAAACUCUAGCUAAUGCCGGAUGAGACCACGAUCCCUUCGGGGGUUGCGGCCAAAGAUGGCCUCUACUUGUAAGCUAUCGCUGAGGGAUGGGCCUGCGGGCCAUUAGCUUGUUGGUGAGGUAACGGCUCACCAAGGCUGUGAUGGCUAGCUGGUCUGAGAGGAUGACCAGCCACACUGGGACUGAGACACGGCCCAGACUCCUACGGGAGGCAGCAGUGGGGAAUAUUGCGCAAUGGGCGAAAGCCUGACGCAGCGACGCCGCGUGGGUGAUGAAGGCCUUCGGGUCGUAAAGCCCUGUCGCAGGGGAAGAAUAAGCAUCGGUAUAAUACGCCGGUGCCCUGACGGUACCCUGCAAGAAAGCACCGGCUAACUUCGUG
rnacentral:rRNA from 1 species